rnacentral:rRNA from 2 species
GACGAACGCUGGCGGUGUGCUUAACACAUGCAAGUCGAACGGUAAGGCCCUUUUUUGGGGUACACGAGUGGCGAACGGGUGAGUAACACGUGAGUAACCUGCCCUCAUCUCUGGGAUAACAGUCGGAAACGGUUGCUAAUACUGGAUAUGAGCUUGCAAGGCAUCUUGUGGGUUGGAAAGAUAUUUUUUUGGUUGGGGAUGGACUCGCGGCCUAUCAGCUUGUUGGUGAGGUAGUGGCUCACCAAGGCUUCGACGGGUAGCCGGCCUGAGAGGGCGACCGGCCACAUUGGGACUGAGAUACGGCCCAAACUCCUACGGGAGGCAGCAGUGGGGAAUAUUGCACAAUGGACGGAAGUCUGAUGCAGCAACGCCGCGUGCGGGAUGACGGCCUUCGGGUUGUAAACCGCUUUCAAUUGUGACGAAGCUUUUUGUGAC